rnacentral:rRNA from 1 species
CGNGGGUUGGAGAUUAUUGGGCCUAAGCAUCCGGUAGNCGGUUUUUGCAAGUUCUUCCGUUAAAUCCACCNGCUUAACAGAUGGGCUGCGGAAGAUACUANAAAACUAGGAGGCGGGAGAGGCAANCGGUACUCNAUGGGUAGGGGUAAAAUCCNUUGAUCCAUUGAAGACCACCAGUGGCGAAGGCGGCUUGCCAGAACGCGCUCGACGGUGAGGGAUGAAAGCUGGGGGAGCAAACCGGAUUAGAUACCCGGGUAGUCCCAGCUGUAAACGAUGCAAACUCGGUGAUGAGUUGGCUUAUUGCUAACUCAGUGCCGCAGGGAAUCCNUUAACUUUGCCGCCUGGNNAGUACNGCCNNNAGACUGA